UAUGCUUGUCUCAAAGACUAAGCCAUGCAUGUCGAGUUCACACCCUUGCACGGUGAAACCGCGAAUGGCUCAUUAAAUCAGCUAUGAUUUCUUAGAUCUUACACGAUACUUGGAUAACUGUAGUAAUUCUAGAGCUAAUACAUGCCCAUUAGGCCGUGAUCUUUAUUGGUCGCGGUGGGUUUAUCAGUUCAAAACCAACCAGCCAUUAUGUGCUGUCGGUUUGAUGACUCUGGAUAACUUCUCUGAUCGCAUGGCCGUGCGCCGGCGACGUAUCUUUCAAGUGUCUGACCUAUCAACUUUCGAUGGUAGGUGAUAUGCCUACCAUGGUGAUCACGGGUAACGGGGGAUCAGGGUCUGAUUCCGGAGAGGGAGCCUUAGAAAUGGCUACCACAUCUAAGGAAGGCAGCAGGCGCGCAAAUUGCCCACUUGCAGUGUCAAGCAGAGGUAGUGACGAUAAAUAACAAUGUGGAACUCGAAUGAGGCUCCACAAUUGGAAUGAAUACAAUCUAAAUCCUUUAAUGAGGAACAAUUGGAGGA
rnacentral:rRNA from 1 species